GAUACUCGGCUCGAUACCCAGUGCCUCCAUACAGUGCUGAUCAGGGUAACGUGUGGGUGCCAUAGGGCGCUGAUACAAAGCAAUGUAGCAAUCCCUCUGACGUUGUCUCUAUAGGCAACAUGCAUGUCAUCAAAACCCUGCAUCCUGUAAAAGUUAGGAAAGUGAUCCUGAAAAUGCAAACCAUUCAAAUCUUAGUCUCAAUGCAAAAUAAAAUAAAAAUAAAAAUA
rnacentral:lncRNA from 1 species